rnacentral:rRNA from 1 species
AGAGUUUGAUCAUGGCUCAGAUCGAACGCUGGCAGCGUGCCUUAUACAUGCAAGUCGAGCGAGAAAGCGGCCUUCGGGCCGCAAGUAGAGCGGCAAAAGGGUGAGUAAAGAUUGGGUACUUGUCUUUCGGAGCGGGAUAACGGCGGUCCCCUUAGGGGGACCCUUUGGCGAAAGUGCCGCUAAUACCGCAUGAAGAUGCGGCCGCACGCCUUAUUCGUAAGCGCGUAGCGGUUUCAUUGAAACGGAGCGCCGGGCGACCGGCGACGCUGCCGAAAGAGGGGCCCAAUUCCUAUUAGCUGGUUGGUGAGGUAACGGCUCACCAAGGCGAUGAUGGGUAGCCGGCGUGAGAGCGCGACCGGUCACACUGGGACUGAGACACUGCCCAGAGCCCCACGGGGCGCUGCAGUAGGGAAUAUUCCGCAAUGGACGGAAGUCUGACGGAGCGACGCUGCGUGGAGGAAGAAGGCCUUCGGGUUGUAAACUCCUGUCAGGGGUUAUGAACACCGCCGCGAGAUGCGGCGGCUGACAAAGGCCCCAGAGGAAGCCAUGGCUAACUUCGUGCCAGCAGCCGCGGUAAGACGAAGAUGGCAAGCGUUGAUCGGAAUUACUGGGCGUAAAGCGCGCGUAGGCGGCCCGAGUAAGUUGGAGGUGGAAGCCUGUGGCCCAACCACAGAAUUGCCCCCAAAACUGCCGGGCUGGAGGACGACAGGGGAGAGUGGAACUCCUGGUGGAGCGGUGAAAUGCGUAGAUAUCAGGAGGAACGCCAGCGGCGAAAGCGACUCUCUAGGUCGUUCCUGACGCUGAGUGUGCGAAAGCCAGGGUAGCGAACGGGAUUAGAUACCCCGGUAGUCCUGGCCGUAAACGAUGGGCACUUGGCAUUGGGGCGUGAGCUUCAGUGCCGUAGCUAACGUGUUAAGUGCCCCGCCUGGGUAGUACGACCGCAAGGUUAAAACUCAAAGUAAUUGACGGGGGCUCGCACAAGCGGUGGAGCACGCGCCUUAAUUCGAGGCAACGCGAGGAACCUUACCAGGACUUGACAUGCUGGUAGUACGAACCCGAAAGGGGGAGGAUGCGCCUUUGGCGCAAGCCAGCACAGGUGUUGCAUGGCUGUCGUCCGUUCGUAUCGUGAGAUGUUGGGUUAAGUCCCGUAACGAGCGAAACCCUUGUCCUUAGUUGCCAGCACGUAGUGGUGGGGACUCUAAGGAGACUGCCGGUGUCAAACCGGAGGAAGGUGGGGACGACGUCAAGUCAUCAUGGCCCUUAUGUUCUGGGCGGGACGCAUGCUACAAUGACCGGUACAGCGGGAUGCGAAGUCGCAAGAUGGAGCGAAACCCUCAAAGCCGGUCCCAGUUCGGAUCGGGGUCUGCAACCCGACCCCGUGAAGGAGGAAUCGCUAGUAAUCGCGAAUCAGCCACGUCGCGGUGAAUAUGUGCCCGAGCCUUGCACACACCGCCCGU